rnacentral:rRNA from 1 species
CACGUAGGCACCAAGCGUUGUCCGGAUUUAUUGGGCGUAAAGAGCUCGUAGGCGGUUCAGUAAGUCGGGUGUGAAAACUUUGGGCUUAACCCAAAGCGUGCAUCCGAUACUGCUGUGACUUGAGUUCGGUAGGGGAGUGGGGAAUUCCUAGUGUAGCGGUGAAAUGCGCAGAUAUUAGGAGGAACACCGGUGGCGAAGGCGCCACUCUGGGCCGAAACUGACGCUGAUGUGCGAAAGCGUGGGGAGCAAACAGGG